rnacentral:rRNA from 1 species
UCAAAAUCAGUGGCGGUGCCGUCUGGCUUCAAGCGUAGUAAUACUUCUCGCUCUGGAGCCCGGGCGAGCGUCCCGCCAGAACCCCCCAUAUUCUUUCAGGUUGACCUCGGAUCAGGUAGGGAUACCCGCUGAACUUAAGCAUAUCAAUAAGCG